UAGUAUAAAAAUGAUCGUAUAAACUUAAGCUUUAUACUACAUGUAUAGCGCUUUUUUUAUGCCCCCCUUCGUAGAAGAGGGGGUAUAUUGUUUUGCACAUGUCGGUCCGUCGGUCGGUCAGUCCUUCCACCAGAUGGUUUCCGGAUGAUAACUCAAGAACGCUAAGGCCUAAGAUCAUGAAACUUCAUAGGUACAUUGAUCAUGACUGGCAGAUGACCCCUAUUGAUUUUCAGGUCACUAGGUCAAAGGUCAAGGUCACAGUGACUCAAAAUAGUAAAAUGGUUUCCGGAUGAUAACUCAAGAAUGCUUAGGCCUAGGAUCAUGAAACUUCAUAGGUACAUUGAUCAUGACUGGCAGAUGACCCCAAAUGAUUUUCAGGUCACUAGGUCAAAGGUCACAGUGACAAAAAACGUAUUCACACAAUGGCUGCCACUACAACUGACAGCCCAUAUGGGGG